rnacentral:lncRNA from 1 species
ACACACACACACAAUAGCGCUAUUUUUAGCUAUAGUGUAUGGUAUUUAUUCUACACCUCUAGUAAACUUUUGUAUAAAAUGUCCUAAAGUUGUCUAUGAAAAGUAGUAAUUACGGAGUAAAUUGUUUUUGCUAUCCAAGUUGUGUACAAAAUGUUAUCUCUCCAAUGUAGCUAAGUUGUGCAUCUAUUUUAGAACAAUGUAGUAAAACGGUGGCUCAGAUAUUAAAAAGAAGUUAUUCCAAAAUUACUACUUUGUACACAAGUUUUUUUUUUUUUGUAAAAUUUGUACCAGGCAUGUACAACAACUCUAUACUCUCCUCGUCAACUUCCAACAAAAUAUGGUGAAUUCUGCGACUAAAAUGCAUCUAUCCUCCUCGUAUCUGCUGGCAACACCCAAAGGCGGUCCUCUUGCUUCGAAAAUGCCUCGUUGCGGCCCUUAUACGCGUGAAUAUUGUCCACAUAUUGCCCCAAGAGCUAGUUACUCCUAGUGAGAGGGUGCUUGGAUGAUCAACGGCCAAUGCACUCAGAGACUUUAGAUAAGACAUCCAUUUUCUUGAGGUCUGUUAUUCUGCACCUUAGCACUCCUCAAGAAUGUGAAUUUCGCAUUACACCUUCGUUUUCUCACUCGCUGUCAUAUCUCUAACUGUACCUUUACUUGAUAUAUUGCCGCCAAUUUGCACAUGCACGAAACAUAAAAUAACAUUGAGUGAUUGAGAGAAAGCACAUGCGCAAUUUGUGUCACGUUGCAUUUUUAUCCAGAACCUGUCCUCGGCACACAACCGAGCGAACAACGAGCAGACGAACUCAAGUCAUGAUCAGAGCAGGGCGAGUUGGUUGGGGCAGUCCCCUGUACCGUGACUUUACCUUCACACAAGUAUCAUACGGGCCUACGGCUGAGGUUGGUUAGGCCAGGGCCCCCAACAGCACUGGCUUUGCACUGCGCAGCAGCUUCCAUGCAUCCCCAGCCAGGUCGACGUACAGUUCGUGGAGUACUUAAUAACGGAAGGAGGAAGCGUAAAGCCUUUGCCGAUAUUUUACUCAGGGAAAGGUACACACACUAACUCGAUGAUGCCCUCACAGAUCCUGAAACCCAUAAUGGGCUAGUGCAUAAUCACCAACCCUUAACUGUAGCCCAUGGCCCCAUUAUCGCAUGCACGAUGAUCUCAGGCAUAUGUUCAGCUAUCUCCUGAUCACUAGCUCCCACCCAACCCACUGAUAAACCCCAUCAUUCCAAAUCGAGUAUUAUACUAUUAUACUAGCACUAGCUAGUUAAAUUAUAAUUUUACCAAAUGAGAUUAUUGGAUUAAAAAUUGAUGUAAACAAGUUGUGGUUGUGGACAUGGAGAUUUUGGAGGUAGGGGAGCAGGCAGCAAGAUUCCAAUGGAAGAAACCAAAAGGAGGGCAGCAAGUUGGGGCAGGAGAGGAGGCUAACAAGAAGACAGAUCAGAGACGGGUGAGUGAGGACAGGUGCGGGUGCGGCACCAACCAGCAGCAACCGGGGCGCCGGCCCAUCUACCCUAGCCAGUGGCCACGCCGAUGCGGCGCACACGGGCUACUCCUACCUGCAUGGGUACAAAACUGGCAAUUUGUCACGUACCGCGCCAACGCCUCCAUUAAUAGUUGAAGCUCUCCGACGGGUUCCCUCCCACUCCGAGCUCCUCCUACUCGCACCAGCAUCAUCAUCAUCAUCAGUUGGUUAGCUGCGAGCUCCUCAAGAUGCAUGCUACCAGAUAGGUGGCAGUACAGGGCUGGGGAGUGUGCGCGCGUGUGUGUUGGUUUGUCGCCAUGGUUGCGGAGAUGGGAGAAGCAGCACCGGUAGCAAUGGUGGAGGCAGAGGUGGUGCCAGGGGCAGAGGGCAGCCAUGGCGAGGCGCUGAUGGUGCUCGAGACUCUGGCGUCGUCUUCCCUGGCCUGCUCCGUCCCGCAGUUCCCGACCAAGUGGAAUUCCGUCAAGGACAAGCUCCGGCAGCUCUGCUCCGGCCUCAGUUUGCUGCGCAGCAAUGGCGGCGACGGCGAGGAGGAUGAGGAGGAGGUGGAGGGGGGAGAAGGGCAUCACGUGCUGGCUCAGUUCCUGCACUCUGCUUCGGCCACCGUGAGGGGCAUCCUGGAUGUGGCCUCGCAGUGCAGCGACGGCACGUACGGCGGCGGGCGGCUGCGCCUGCGGAGCGACAUGGACGGCCUGACCGCCAAGCUGGAGGCGCACGUGCGGCAGCUCAAGGAGAUGGCCUCCACCGGCGCGUCCAGGUCGCCGUCGCAGGCCAUCGUCGCGGUGCGGCCGGGCGCCGACGCGGGCGUGGGCGAGAAGCGGUUCUUCCUCAAGGACCUCUUCUCCCGGAUCAGGAUCGGCGGGCCGGUGCAGCGGGCGCAGGCGCUGGCCACCAUCGCCGAGCUCAUGUCGGAGGACGAGGCGUGCGUGCGGGUCGUGGCGCUCGACGUCGACGACGGCGUCGCCGUGCUCGCCGGCUUCCUCGAGUCGCGGGACCCGCGCAUCCAGGAGGAGGCCGCGGGCGCCGUGGCCGUCGUGGCGGGCUCCGACUCGUACCGAGGCAUGCUGGUCAAGGCCGGCGUGGUCGCGCCGCUGGUGCAGAUGCUGGAGAACGCGGGCGGCGUGGGCGGCGCCACGGCGCUCGCCAGGGAGCGCGCGGCGCAGGCGCUGCGGGAGCUGACGGAGAACUCGGACAACGUGUGGGCCGUGUGCGCGCACGGCGGCGUCACGACGCUCCUCCACGCCUGCGCCGACGCCGGCAGCGGGGGGCGGCUGCUUAGCUCCUCCUUCGCCGUCCUCCGCAACCUGAGCAGGGUGGAGGAAGUCAAGAUGUUCAUGGUGGAGCAGGGCGUGGUGACCGAGCUGGUGAAGCUCUCGCAGAAGAUGGAGGAGGUGCGCAAGCUGGGCGCCGUGGAGCUGCUGCACGCCAUGGCGCUCGACGACGCCGACGUGAGGGAGGAGGCCAUCGGCAUGGGGGUGAUCCAGUCGCUCCUCCAGCUGAUAUACCCGGACCUCCCCUACUCCUACAAGGCGCGCGAGGUGGCCCUCGCCGCCAUCUGGUUCUUCUGCUUCUCCUCGGCGAGCUCCAUCGACGACCUGACCAGCUCCGACGUGCUGGGCUGGCUGCUCCACUACCUCAACAACGGCGACUACGCCGUGCUCGACUGCACGCUCAAGAUCCUCCGCCACCUCGCGGAGGCCUCGGAGGAGUACAGCCGGAUGAUGGCCCGGGCCGGGUACUUCGCCGCGCUCGCCGGCCUGCUCGCCGCGAAGUCCUUCCGGGUGCGCGAGAUGGCGGCGCAGGUGCUGUCCAGCCUGCUGGCGCUGCACGGGAACCGGGUCAUCUUCAUGCAGGACGGCGACAACCUGGACCGGCUGCUGCAGCUGCUCAACCCGUCCGAGGGCAAGCUGAUGGCCAAGGGGCUCAUCCUCUCCGCCGUCACGUCGCUGGCCGAGACCGGCGCCGGGAGGAAGAAGAUCGUGUCGUCGGAGCACUUCGGGAGCCUCAAGGAGCUCGCCGACUCCGGCGACCCCGACGCCAAGAAGGUCGUCAAGAAGAUCGCCAACAGCAGCAGGCUGCAGUCCAUGUUCAGCAAGAUAUGGAGCGCCUAAGUUAUUCCCUGACACCCAUUUCUUACCCAGAUUCCUUUACUAAACACCCCUUUGAUUUAGCGUUAGUAGUACAUUUGAUUUGAUGUCCAUAGUUUCUGCAUAUCCACAUCCAGCCAUCAUCGUGAUUCCCUUGUGCUGUAGUAUAUUGCAACUUCAGUGAAGUUCAAGUUUUGCCAUCAGUCUUGUUUUGUGAUGAUCAGCCCUUGGAGGUUGUAAAUCAGGUGCUUGUUUCAGACAUCUUGCAAGGCUGAACCGUCAACCCUGACAAGUCCAGCAAAUUACAGUAGCAAAUAUAUCCAAACACACUCCAUUGGUAUCUCACCAGUUUUGUCAAGACUGGCAGAGAGCAAGUGGGGAUUAUGAGCAAGGGGACAAACAACGGAUUAACUACCAACUGCGGUUACUCCAUCACUGCAAAACGCCAGAUAAAUACCAAGACAAGAACAUGUUGUCCUACUAUCCGCCUAGAGAUUCCUUCUUUAUCUUUCCAUCUCAAGUUUAUCAUCCCGUGAUGCAUCAAGAUGUGCACGUGAACCUCUCCAGCAAUGGCCUAUCCAGGCUUCUAGCUGUUUGUAUUUGUGCUCUGUGGCUCAAAUUUAUCCCUAGAGCCAAAGCGAUCGAUGGAUCUUGGUUCACGUGUCUCCAGCAAUGCUGAAUUAGUGAAUUUUCUAGUGGGUUUGGAAUCAUGCUUACUUGGUCCAUCUUUUGUUUGUUGUUGUUAAUGACAACACUUGUCCAUAUUCAUUUGCAGUGAACAUCCAUUUUUACUGUUCUUAUUAUAUUCUCAGCCAUGCCUAUUGCAUAUGCAUGAGCUGCAGCACUGGACGUACUGUAGUACAGAGUCUGAAAAUACAGUAGUAUCUAACAGAGGACAUGUCUGCUGAAACAAUGACUAGGAAAAGGAGAAUAUUUCAGCAAGCAUUCCAAACAACAAAAGAGCAGAAUACCCCCCUGCAAACAACAGGAUUCGUCGAAGGACGCAGAGAGAACGAACAGACUACUUCUCUUCCAAGUUAUUUAUACUUAUAUGCCAUGUUUAAUAAUGCUAAACUUGUCUCAAAUGAUAGGGCGCCCAAUGAAUGGCCUGCAUGCUGUUUUCAAAUGUUUUUGGGCAGAUGCCAAUUAGUAAAUUCAGUAUGACCUCAUUAGUAAUCUCUACAACUCUCACCCCUGCUGCCACAGAAAUAUAUCAAAUUUUUACAUAUCCUAGUUGGAUUUAAUGAGAACACUUGUCCGACUGAAUUGAUGAAUUUGGAUCCAUGCUUACUUGGUCCAUCAUUUUGCUUGUUUUGGGUGACUUGUCCGACUCAGGAACCUCCAUUUACACACUCCUUGUUAUCUUCUCAGCUAUGCUUACUACCCGCGUAAUGUAGCAUACUGAAACUACAGUUUAUACCAGAGCACAUGUCUGCUGAAAUGAAUUUGUAGGAACAAUGGCUAAAUAAGAAAUGCUACCCAUCAGCUAUUUGCAUACCAAUGGAGAAAAAUACUUCAAUUUCAGCAAACCUUUGGACCAGAAGACACUAACUGACAGGUAAACCCAAAGAGCACCCAUAUAAAUGUCUUAACAAACGAAAUGACAGCACUAUGAAUGUAACAGCAGACUAAGUAACACACUGCAAAAAGCCUAACUCAAAUAAAUGCUCAAAUUUAGCAAACACUAUGAUCAAUCAUGAACGGCUCAAAAUCAUACUGGUGCCUCAGCUCAAAGCUUCUGCUGGGUGAGAUCCCUCUCUUUUCAGUUUUAUUUGUUGGAUUUCUCUAAGUGCCUUCACUGGAUGGCAGGGCACCUAAUGGCCAGCAUGAUGUUUUCAAAUGUUUUCGGGCAGAUGCCAAUUGUACGAAACUAAGUUUCAGAAAGACAAAAAAUCAGUAUGAUCCCAUUAGUAAUCAAGGCCACUUUAGUAAUCUACGGAGAUCUAUGACUAUCAAGUUACUCUUCCUACUGCCAAAGAAAUAUGAGUGAACAACAAUUCUGUUUCAGGAAUCAGGACGUGUGCGCAUUAGUUUUCAGAAUGUUGUCAGCCCGCCAUGCAUGCCACUCAUGAAUUAGCUACAUGUAUGCUGUUCCCAACAUGCCUCAUUUUGUUUUAACUAUAAAUAGACAGAUGAUGGUGCCACUAAAAUCUUUCUUCAUCUUUCCCAAUCAAUUUUAGCAUCCCGUGAUGCUUCAAGAUGAGCACGUGGAUCUCCAACAAUGGCUUGUCCAUUUGUUCCCAGCUGUCUGUGCUUUGUGGGUUAAAUUUAUCCCUACAGCCAAAGUUAUCUAUCUAUAGAUGCAUGAGACAAGUGUUCAAUGGGCUGGCAAUGCUGGAUCUGCAGUGAAUAUGGAUUCAAGAUUAGUCAGCCCAUCUCUUGGCUGUUGUUAUAAUGAACACUCUGCUACCCAGACACCUCCAUUUUUACUGUUAUUAUUUUAUCUCAUCAGUUAUAUAUGCCUAUGCAUGAACCAUAGUAGAUGGUACUGAAACCCAGUACACAUGUAUGCAGAAAUGAAAAUUGCUCAAACAAUGGCUGAAUGAAAGAAGAAAUGCUACUCAUCAGCUACGGAAGGAAAACAUUUGGGCAAGCUUUUGAGCAGAAUAUUAUCCUCUUGAAUUUCCAAACAAGAGGUUUCAGUACCGCACCAUGACUCUAAUUGCAUGAAACAGAACACACUGACAGACAGACAGUAAAAAUUAAAGACAAGAGCACGAGAACACAUAUAAAGGUACCUAUAGAUGCAACAAAACAAGUUGAAUGGGCUGGCAAUACUGAAUUCACAGUAAAUUUGGAUUCAAGCUUAGCCAGUUCACCAUAAAUCUGUAUCUUAUUAGCUAUGCCUAUGCAGGAUCUGAAAACCAGAACACAUGUCUGCAGAAGUGAAAAUUGCUGAAACAAUGGCUAAAAUAAGAAAUGCUACUCAUCACCCAUUUGCAUACCAAAGGAAAGCAUUUCAACUUCAGCAAGCUUUCGAGCAGAAUAUUAUCCUCUUGCAUUUCCAACCAAAAGGGUUUCAGUACCACACCAUGACACUACUUACAUAAAACAGAGCACACUGACUGACAGGUAAAACUAAACAAGAGCACCCAUAUAAAGGUCUUCUUCACACUCUAGCAGGGCCUUAACGAAUGAAAUCGGCAAACAAAGCAUGAGAUAGGAAUAUAACAGUAGACGGACUGACUAUGUAACACGCUGCAAAAAGCCUCACCCAAAUGCUCAAGUUAAGCAAGCGCUCCGACCAAUCAUGAAUGGAUCAAAAUCAU